UCCAGGAAGCUCCCUCCGCCACAUCAGCCGACAACCCUCCACUCAAGGCACCAACAGGGUCCCCAAAAAUGAAUUGCCCUGUUAACUCCUCACAAAUUCUCUAAGUGGCUCAGCUUUUUUGUAUGUUUUAAGGAGCACCCACAGAUAGUCUUCUCGUAAGGCUAUUCUACUUUCUCUGAGCCACCUUCUCAAUUGCCAGUCCAAACAAAUAGACUUGGACUCCUUCCACUUCCUACCCAACCGGCCAGAUUCCAGGCCAGUUUCUAGGAGUAUUUUUCUCUCUUUCCAUCGCUGCUUCUUAAGCUGGUGUGAGUGGGGGAUCGCUUCUGACACAACUUUGGCAUAAAUCCAGUUAGAUAGAUACUUUAUUUAUGGCCAAUGGCCAAAACAAAAACACAACACAAACAAUAAAUUCCAGCAUUCAACAUUAACUUAGCCAUUAACUUUAGCAUCAGUCAAUGAACUACGAAUUCUAAUUGCGAUGUAACAAAAUUUUGCUACAACAUGAGAGAUGCAAAGUACAUUAUCUUCAAGCAAAAUUUUCACCAGAAAAUCAUCCGAUUGAUGUUGAAACCUAGAAAGAAGCGGCAGAAUAAAAUGACAUCUAAUGUUUCUGUAGAAUCUACAGCGUAAUAAAAUGUGAACGAUUGAUCCAGUUAGAGUUUUCAGAGUCUGAAGAAGCACAACCUUUGCUAGCCCGCAUCUCUUGUUGGAACCAGAGCCCACUGAUAGGGAAAGUGACAUGGAUGUGCAUCCCUUUCAAGCCACCCCAAGACCACUCAAUGGCUCAACCACAGAACCACACUAUAUUUCAGACAUGUGUACCCUGAACAUCCCAAGUACCAAAGAUCCAUCCCCUCACAGCCAUAGGUGGAAGCUGUCAGUCCAAUUCUCUGACCUCACUUAACAUUCAGACAGUGACAGUGAAAUGGACAUCACUAAGAGCCUUCCCCCUGUGCUCUCCAACAUGCAGAGUUUGCUGCCCACUGAGCCCCCCCCCACCAAGAAGCCUCCCCUCAAUGAAGGGGAAUCCCAGGCAGGAGCUUCCAACACAGCAUCCACAGAAGGAGAGGCGCCUAUGCAUCCUACCAUGCCCCAAGAGCCCCCUCCACCCUCUGCAAGCCUCAGGGGACUUGGAUCCAAAGAAGGGUGCCCACCACCAUCACCCCUCCCACAAGAUACCAUCAUAGCAGCUUCCAAAGACAAUUCCUCUGAUUCCCCAUGAGCCACAUUCCCAAAGGAACUGCCAAUAGUACCGCCACCCAUGCCCUUGCACAUGAUCAGAGACAUGACAGAAGAAGGGGCCCUCACAUCAUAUCCAUCGCCCCAGCAACAACAGCCAGAGCAGGUAAUCCCCAGGGUCGCUACCUCACAGACCAUGGGACCUGGAAUGCUGUUUGCCAGUGACCCCCACUUUGAUGACAUCACCAUGCUGAUGAUAUACCAUUAACUAUCAACCCAUCCUGCACAGGCCUCGUACCCUGAAAGAGGCCUGGCAACUCCUAAGAUGAGAACACAGGAACAUGCAAACACAUGACAACCUCCACCCCUGCACGGCCGCCCAGCCUGCCCCUCAGAGCACUACUGGAACCCUCAUGAAGAACUACCAACCAGUCCCCAGGCCAUAUCACAUCCAAGAUACCAGAAUAUGAUUUCCCUCCUGUCCUGGAAUGUGGCAGGGUGGCAUUCCUGCCUCAGAGAGGCCACAUUCAUAGACUUCAACUCCCAAUAUGAUGGUAUUAUGAUAUAAGAUACCUGGUCUGCUGAAGAUCUCACACUUAAUGGACAUUCAUACUCAUUAGGCGCAGAAGCCGGGGCAGGCCAAGGCAGACUCAAGGGUGGUCUAGGGGUGCAAGUCUCUGUGUGCAACAUCAGCAGCACUCCCCCCACUCAAGCAGUGUGCCAUGGCAGUCUCAAUCCACUUCAGACACUGCUCCCUACUGCUAAUUAACAUUUACCUCCCUCCCCAAUAUCAGAAAACCCAGGUCAGAAAUCUAUGGUCUGAACUAGAAAAGUACAUCAUGUAACUCCUCCUCGCCAACCCCAAUGCACAUUUGGUUCUGGGAGGUGACUUCAGUGCCCUGGUUGGGCCCUGAUAAUUACACCCUAUACACACAAUACCAGUGCUACCCACCCAACCCCAAAGCAGACUGACUCUCCCUCACCCGCCUCUUGAAGGACCGGAGGUUAAACUCUGCGGGUCUCAGCAUGGCCCAAAUGACCACCAGGCUCAACCUUUUUAUUUUAAACACCUCACUUGAAAAUGAUCAUCCUGCAAAAUUCACAUACUUGUCCGGGUCCAAAAUGAGUGUCAUCAACAACAUAAUUAUCUCUGGCAACCUACAUCCAUUCACUGAAUACUUCGAGGUUGUUUCCCAAUUGGAAAAUGACAACUUUCUGAUCUCUCUCCAACUAAAGCCCUUCACUCAUCAGCCCCAUACCAAGGACUGCUACCUAGGGAUGUGCGGUUCGGUUCCGAUCCAAUACCUCUGGUCCCUCCUCUUGGGACCGCUGCAGCUGCUGUACCCCCACACCUGGAUCACCCCUCCCCGCUGCUAAGCUCCCCCCCUCCGUGCUGCUCCUCCUCUCUCUUCUUUCUCUCUCCCUCUCUGCUCUCUCUCUCUCUCUCUCUCCUCUCUCCUCUCUCCUCCAUCCCUCACAUCUUCCUCCCACAGCUGCAGCCAGCCACAGUAGCCUAUCACCUCCGACCUCACCUGGAGGUCCCCGCCAUUGGUUUUUUGGUGUUUUUUUUUAAGUUGUUCAUUUCAUUUGUCUCUGCUUGAGGGUGAGUUGAGCGACACAAAUAGUGUUGUCUCCUCACUUCUGCCCCGCCAUCGUUGACCUACCCCGGCUGCCUGUGCCUCGUACGGCCGCCCUGUCUGUGUCCCAACCCAGUGGCUGGCUGGAGCGGCGCAUCCGUGACCAGCAGUGUGCGGCAGGAGAAGGACCGGAAGAAGAGGGGUUAGUGCGUGCGCAAUUGUGCACCUUUUGUUGCCCCCUUUCCCUCUCCCUAGUUGGUGGUUUUAAAUAGGGACACCCCUAUUUUGAAAUGCAUUUGGGUGUGGGGAGGGACCCUUGGAGAUGUACUGUUGUGUCUUGCUUGAUGAAGAAAUUGCUGCUGUGUGUUGCAUUUCAUGCUUCUUGCGCAGGUGGUUUUUUAACAGGUUCCCCAACACCCCAUCCCAUCCCACCCCACCCCCGGUCAUUAUGUUUGGAAGAUAUAUGAUGAUGUUCCAUGCUGCCAUCCAGUGUUUGCUUGCCUUGGGCAGAGUGGGUGGGUUGGUUCUAUCUGUGAAAGUGCAAUUGGUUUCUGAAAGUGCAAUUUUGGGGUUUUGUGAAAUUGGAAAUUCCUAAAUAGGCGCAUUGCAAGGUUGAUGCUUGCAGCAUUACCUGAAAACCGCCCCCCAACCAUACACUGUGCUCAGUUCACUAAAGAAGGGUUUCCUUUGAUUUGCAGGUUCCCAAGCUUUGACUGCGUCCCACCCACCCCCCGUCUCUUAGUAUGUGCAAAGACAUCUGUUUAUGAUGUGAAAAAGAGGAGAGUGAAGAAAGAUAACUAAACUGGGAAAUAAAUAUUUCAGAUUUCACUUUUUGAGUUUGAAGCACAAGGCCACAAAAUGAAAACCAAGUUUAAUGGAACAUCUGUGUGUACAUGCACACAUAUUUAAGUCUUUUUCCUCGAUUCCUUUGCAGAAGAAUGCAGAAAUCAAUUAGAAGAGAUCAGAAAUCUCAAAACAGAAUUAGAAUGGACAAAAAGAACUCUUCGCAAUGCAGCCAACAUCACACUAGCUGUGGAUUCAGCCCAUCCCCACCUCUCCAUUGCUGGUGAUCAGAAGAGCUUC